UCCAACACAGAAAUUGCCAGG
rnacentral:piRNA from 1 species